rnacentral:rRNA from 1 species
UACGUAGGGGGCUAGCGUUGUCCGGACUUAUUGGGCGUAAAGAGCGUGUAGGCGGCCAGGUAGGUCUGCUGUGAAAACUCGAGGCUCAACCUCGAGACGCCGGUGGAAACCGUAAAGCUAGAGUCCGGAAGAGGAGAGUGGAAUUCCUGGUGUAGCGGUGAAAUGCGCAGAUAUCUGGAGGAACACCGGUGGCGAAGGCGGCAUCCUGGACCGGCAUUGACGCUGAGGCGCGAAAGCCAGGGGAGCAAACGGGG